rnacentral:misc_RNA from 1 species
UUAAGUUCAGCGGGUAGUCCUACCUGAUUUGAGGUCAAUGUUUGUGUGUUAGGGGGGUGGGAUUGUGAAGGGGGCAGUCAAUCUUCCAAUGAGUUGGCAGAACCUAGACAUUAGUAGAGAGAAAGCUCGUUUCCACGCACCCCCUGCGUAUUUCAGCGGGGCCUCGAAAGGCCUCCGCCAACACCAAGCUCACGCUUGAG